GCAUCGGUGGUGUAUGGAUACGCACCGAUGAGAUGAGCGGGGAUUUUCGUUGCAAUGGUGAGACGAGGUUCGAUUCCUCGCCGGUGCA